rnacentral:rRNA from 1 species
UUCCGGUUGAUCCUGCCGGACCUGACUGCUAUCGGAUUGAUACUAAGCCAUGCGAGUCUUUGCAGUAAUGCAAGGCAUACGGCUCAGUAACACGUAGUCAACUUACCCUAUGGACGAGGAUAAUCUCGGGAAACUGAGCAUAAUACUCGAUAGAUCAUAAUGCCUGGAAUGGUUUAUGGUUGAAAUGAUUCGUCGCCAUAGGAUGGGACUGCGGCCUAUCAGCUUGUUGGUGAGGUAAUGGCCCACCAAGGCGAUUACAGGUACGGGCUCUGAGAGGAGAAGCCCGGAGAUGGGUACUGAGACAAGGACCCAGGCCCUAUGGGGCGCAGCAGGCGAGAAAACUUUGCAAUGUGCGAAAGCACGACAAGGUUAAUCCGAGUGAUUUCUGCUAAAGAAAUCUUUUGCAAGUCAUAAAACCACUAGUGAAUAAGGGGUGGGCAAGUUCUGGUGUCAGCCGCCGCGGUAAAACCAGCACCUCA